ACGCCCUAGAGAUGUUAGACUUGCUCCAAGUCUCUCUUUCAUUGUCAUAUACUAUCGAUCCACUAUAGUGUACAUCAUGUAAUGUACACUACAGUGGAUCGAAACUCUAUGACAAUGAAAGAGAGACUUGGAGCAAGUCUAUAGAGAUGUCUG